rnacentral:tRNA from 1 species
GGGACCGUGGGGUAGUGGUAUCCUCUGCGGAUGGGGUCCGUAGGACCCGAGUUGACUCUCGGCGGUCCCA